rnacentral:lncRNA from 1 species
CCGCCAUCUGUUGAUAUCUUCCUAAUCUGUAUCUUCAAAAUAGACUUCUAUUUCAGACUUGUAUAAUUUAAUGGGAAGCAGAUGUCUCACAGACACCUCAAGCUCAACGUCCUGUUCCCACCCUCUCACUUUCUAUUGAAACUGUCUCUGCUGUCUGUACUCCCUUCCUUGUUCUUUUGCACCUGGACUAGACAGAAGACUACAGUUCAAUAAGAAGGAAACACAUUCAUUUUCAGUAUUGUUAAUAAAGAAGCUUACCUAAAAGAAGGAAAUCAAAACAAGAUAAUCUACACUGCAACUAGGGGAGGCUAUUGAAUGUGAUGGUCCCCUCAGAUGCCUAGAGGAAGAUGAACAAUGGUAAUCAGAUAUCCUAAAGUUAUCUUUAGGGCACUGGCAAAAUAGCAGCAAUGCCUGGUGGAAGCUGACUUUGUGCAUACACAUGAGAGCCCACAGAAAACUUCAAACUUCAUGGAAAUAAAACCUUCAGCUGCAGCUAAGAAUUUGGAGGUUACUGAAGGAGGUUACUUUUUCAAGAGCAGAAGUAAGGAUUCCACUGAAUUUGCUCACCAAAGAUAAGUCAGCAAAGAAAACUUACUGAAGAAUACAGGAACAUAAAUCUUAAGCAGGCUUACAUAAGGAAGGGAAGUGGUUGAAUCUGAGACAGCAUAUCAGCUCCUGCUUUCCAGACAAACUUCCUGGGUCUUGGGAAGAAGAAAGCCUCAGACUAAGAACUCUCUCUGGACUCAGACAGCCUGAAUUCAAAUCCCAUCUCUAUUCUUACUAGUCAUAUGAACACAGAUAGUGAAGAAUGAAAGAGAAGCAAAACAGAUCCUGCAGGUUGUGCUCACCACGGUGAAAAUCAUUAUUUGCAACUCCCACAGGAGAACCAUAUCCAUUCAGCUCACUUUGGACCACCUGUGGAGCCUGAUAACCAGGGAACAGAGAACCUGUUGAGAUCCAAAUUUGUGUGCCAGAUCACAAACUCAUCUGAAGCAGAUGCCACGUGUUACACUGUUAUGUCUCUCAGAGACUCCAGCACUUUGAAAGUAUUAGGCCUUGCUUAUUGAGAUGAAUAUUUUUUUCUAGGCAUGUCCCAAAGUUCUCAGCAUAGCUACAACCCUGAUUUUCACAGGAUUUUCAUUAAAAUUAGGUUCUAGAGCAUUACUUCCCUAAUGUGCAAUGCAACUUACGUUUAGUUUUCAAAUCAAAAUUAGUUUUGUUUUUCCACUGUCUUUGUCUUUGAAAAUAUUGAACUUGGGAUUUCCAAAAUUAUAAUUAGCAAUUAUUUUUACAUAUCUUUUAUAUACAUAACUUUUACAAUGGCUGCCAUUAUCAUGUAGGUUCUUAGGAAGUGUUUCUGAUCCUUGUAAAUAAAAGUGAAAGAAGAAAUCUUUACUGCUUGCUGACCCAUGUGACUAACCUUGAAAUCAGAGAGGCAGAUUCAUUUAAAACAAACUUGCAAACUGUUAAGCAAAGUACUGAAUCUCUGUGACUUGACCAAAAGUAAUUCAGACUUGACUAUUCCAGGCUCCCUUCUAUCUCUGUAGCAACCCAUGCAUCAUAGACUCCAGUUGCAAUGGAUGGUCAAGGAAUCUGCUGUGCCUUUUGAGUCUCUCCAUUUUAUAUUGCCAAAUUUAUCUUCCUUUAAUACUUCACUUCACAUAAGACACUAAGAUAAACAAGGAUGCAACUCACUUAUAUUUCAAAAUAGUACCUAGUGGUUAAAAGUACUUGUUCUGAAAGCAACUCUAUUUUUCUAGUUCUAACAUGUCUCCAACUAGUUAUCUCACCUUGAGCUUGGCACAUAAUCACUCCAUCUUACUUUUGCAUCUGUGACACAAGAAAAAUACCACCCACCUCAACAUAGAUCUUAUGAAGAUUAAAAUAAGAUUAUGAAAGUAAAAUGCUCAGCACAAUGUCUAAACGAAAAUAAAUGCUCAGCAAGUAGGAGCUACUAUAAUUAUUAUCCAGAUCAAAUAUUUUCUCCUCUAUGAAGCUUUCUUAUUCUUCCCCAGCUGGAAUUACUUAUUUUCUUCCUUGCUUUCUACACCACACUUUAGUCACCACCAUGCUGGCACUUGUCUCACCGCAUUAUAAUUAUUUAUGUGCCUGUGUUCCAUAACCAGAAUAUGGGACUUAAGCUUCUUUAUACCUCCAGCAUAAUUGUUUCAUGUGUGCUUUUAGGUAAUGGAGUAAAAUGGAUGAAUGAGUGAAUGCGACUAUAGUACUAAAUGCUCUUAGAUAAAGAUGUAAUUAUUCUUAAGUGAUAAAAUUAUUCGAACAUGAGUAGUUCAGAUAAUGAGAGACUGUCAUAGAAUUACUUGAUAAAAUCUAGUCAAUAAAAUGGCUUGGCAAUAUAACCUUUAUGAUUUCUUUAAACAAUCAUUCAUUUCUUUCUGAAGAUGAGAAGAGGAGAUUCCUUCUCCCAUCUUUAUAUUUCAACAAUGAUUAGAAAACAAAUUGAUCUCUGGGAUCAGUGCCCAAUACCAUUAAAGUGGUAUACAUCUUACAAUUCUUAAUUAAUUUGUGGCAUACAUAUACCAGUCUCCACAGCCAGCUUCAUCUGCAUACAGCAGCAUAAUCACUUUUUUCCUUAUAGUAAAGACAUAUUAUGAGUCAUCAAAGUCUUCUCCGGGGGUUGUGGUUAUCAUCUGGUAAUCACACCCUUGGGAGGUUAAAAACACUUAUCUUUGGAUCAUGACUUGCAAUGCCCCAGGGGUGUGAUUAUCUCAGGCAACUCACACUUUCUGUCAUGCCUAAUUGCUUAAUUAUUAUAGCUGCAAGUUCACACCACCAUACAGGAACUCAUGUUGUGUCAGCAUUUCCACUAUAAAUUCCUUUUUCAAGAGUCUAUAACUCAGCCAUAAAAAAAAAAAAAAAAAAAACCUAUGGUCCAUUGAAGCACUGCAGUAAGAGUCUUAUUCCAGGAAACAUUUCUGUAAUAGGUUAAUUGUAUCUUAAAAAUUGGGUCCUGAUUCUCAUAGUUAGUUCACCAAAGAAAUAAAUGCUAAUUAAAUGUCUCUAAAUUAUAUAUUUUUCUGUAUGGCUGGGUAAAUAAUGUAAAUCCUAAAGACAUAAAUAUUAUUUUUUAAAUAUAACAAGAAUGGCUCAUACAAUUUCCAGUUUUUUGGAAAUACACUUACACAUAUUUAUAAAAUAUUAUAUAAGUAGAAUGAGCUAAACCAUAGUUAGAGAACAUUGUCAUAUGCAAUCAUGUACUACAUAAUAUUUCAGUCAGUGGACAGCAUGUGGCAGUGGUCACAUAAGAUUAUAACGCAGCUGAAAAAUUCCUGUUGUCUAAUGACAUCAUGGCUGUCAUAACUGUCAUGGCCGUCAUGGCCAUCUGAACAUUGUAGUACAAUGUAUUCCUCAUGUGUUUGUGGUGAUGCUGAUGUAAACAAGCAUCUGCACUGCCAGUUGUAUAAAAGUGUAGCACAUACAAUUAUGUACAUACAAUUAUGCACACACAAUUAUGUACAACACAUAAUAUUUUAUAAUGACAAUAAACAAUUUUGUUACCGGUUUAUGUAUUCACUGUACUAUACCUUUCAUCAUUAUUUUAGAGUGUACUCUUUCUACUUAUAUAUAAAAAAAAGUUAAUUGUAAAACAGCCUCUAGCAGGUCCUUCAGGACAUAUUCCAGAAGAAGGCAUUGUUAUCAUAGGAGAUGACGGUUCCAUGCGUGUUAUUGCCCCUGAAGACCUUCCAGUGGGUCAAGAUAUGGAGGUGAAAGACAGUGAUAUUGAUGAUCCUGACCCUGCGUAGGCCAAG